CUACGGGGUGCACCAGUGGGGAAUAUUGCACAAUGGGGGAAACCCUGAUGCAGCAACGCCGCGUGGAGGAUGACGCAUUUCGGUGUGUAAACUCCUUUUAUAUAGGAAGGUAAUGACGGUACUAUAUGAAUAAGCACCGGCUAACUCCGUGCCAGCAGCCGCGGUAAUAGGAGGGUGCAAGCGUUACUCGGAAUCACUGGGCGUAAAGCGCGCGCAGGCGGCCUUUUAAGUUGGAUGUGAAAGCCUAUGGCUUAACCAUAGAACUGCAUCCAAAACUAUCAGGCUAGAGUCUGGGAGGGGAAGAUGGAAUUAGUUGUGUAGGGGUAAAAUCCGUAGAGAUAACUAGGAAUACCAAAAGCGAAGGCGAUCUUCUGGAACAGUACUGACGCUGAGGCGCGAAAGCGUGGGGAGCAAACAGGAUUAGAUACCCCUGUAGUC
rnacentral:rRNA from 1 species